rnacentral:rRNA from 1 species
GACAGAGGCCCCAAGCGUUAGGCGGAAUCACUGGGCUUAAAGCGUGUGUAGGCGGAUCGUUAAGUGUCUUGUGAAAUCCCACGGCUCACCCGUGGAACUGCUGGGCAUACUGGCGAUCUUGGGCCAACUAGGGGCAGUCGGAACAAGCGGUGGAGCGGUGAAAUGCGUAGAUAUCCACAGGAACUCCGGUGGCGAAGGCGGCGUGCUGGACCUCUUCUGACGCUGAGGCGCGAAAGCCAGGGGAGCAAACGGG